CAUUCUGAACCAAAAGGAUUCUUGGUAUCCCCAUUUUACAGUCUUUCAGUAAAUAUAUUGCAAUAUUUUAGUACUUUUAAGGGCUCAAAUACUCUUUUAGGUACUGCUGUAUUAGGUUGAUCUUAAGUUUCAACAUGUGAAGGACUACAGGGUAUAAGUUGCUGAUUGAUGCAAAACUUGCAGAGAGUAAUGAUGACCAUGUUUUGGCUGGAACUAUUUCAAGAGAGUGUAAGAAUUCAGGGAAAAAAGCAGGGAAAAAAGCCCACCCAGGAACAUAAAAACACAAGACAGAUCCUGCAGAUGGUUAAAGACAAAACUGUACUCUUCCUCAGCUUUCUUUGUCCUCCAGGUUCAAAUGCAGAGGCAGAGAGCUACAAAGUACACACCAGCACACAGUGCUGCUCUGAACACAUCAGACCUGCUGUGAAGGGGAACCCCAGUGACAGGAAUGGGCAACAAGCAGGUUGGACCCUUCAGAUGUAGUCUGCCACAGAGGAAAAGACACCUCAGGAACAAGAGUACCAGAGCUUCCAUAUCUUCCAAAUUGAGUGGGAACCCCAUUACCACCUCUGGCCUCUGAAAUGCUUUCCAUACCUCUGAUCAAACAAGGAACUUGAGCUGCCCUGUAUUUCCCACUGGAUCAGCUACAAAUCAAAUGAAAUUACUCUGGGGUCCAGAAGAACAUUUUCCCUCCACUGCUAUCAUGAGAAAAGAGAAGUCAAGGAAAGCUGCUGAGCUUUCAUUCUUUGUACCUACAACAUACAUAAGUGGACAGCAAAGUCUGUACUGUCAUUAGAGGAGAAGUUGUGGUUACAGCCAUGGUUAAUUUAUGUUAAAAAACUUCCAGCAACACCUCCAACUCUUAGGUCUCCACUCACAAGACUCUGAAAGGUCUGUAACUCGCCAAUCUCCACAGAACUAUUUGUCUUCCCCUGCAUAUUUAUUGUGCUCCUUCAAGAGUAAGGCAACCUGAAUUAAAGACAGAGUUGAGCAGAAAAUCAUGCUGAAAAAGAUCUCCUGCACUCAGAGGAAAGCAGCCCUGCUAAUAGCAAAGGGAACAGUUUUAAUUGCAUCAACAGUGAACUGCUAUUGCUUACCAU